CUGUGCUCGGUUGCUUGUUUUCUUCUGGUGCUGCAGUUUUUCUCUGUUUACAUUAUUUUUGUGCAUCAAUAACAGGCAACGACGUUUGUGCUGAACCCUGAAGUCUUCUACUCUGCUGGGAGAUCCUCUCCGUGGAGCUUGACACGGAAGAUAUGGCCUUGGACGCGUCUGACGGUCAGCAUAGACCGCCCGCGGCUUGGAAGCGGCUCAGUUCGGCAGUAGGAUCCGAUGCUGCUGAUUCCGAGCUUUCUGACUCACGAUCGGAAGAUUCGGAUGCUUUCAUACCUGUGAAGCACCGCUGCCCACGGCGGACGUCUCCGGCGUCGUCCUCAAGUGAAGGAACCAUCAUAUACAGCACCAUCAAGACUACGACAGUAGCUUUCAGUCCCGUCGACGUGAUGAACCUACCAUCACAGAAGCGAACUGUCAAAGUAAGCCCAAAGGCUUAGAGGUUUCAACCUGCUGCACAGGGCUGCUCGGAAGACGACAUUCAAGACGCGGGCGACUCCGGAAGCAAAAAAAAACAAAACAAAACAUUGUGCAGAAUGGUUAUCGUAGCCUCAGAGGAUUAUAGAACAGUGCUGUUGCCGCUGAUAUCGAAAGAACGCUGUGACAAAUAACGGUUUUAAGGAUAAAUAUUAAGAGUUCAUAUAAUCGGCG